rnacentral:lncRNA from 1 species
GUGUAGCAGUGAUUGACAGGAGAGAACCUACUUAGAAUUUCUGGCAUCUUGGAGAAGGGUUGGUCUGGGAGUUAAACUGCCAGCCCAAGGGGAGUUGCUCCUGAACUCUGAGGAGAGAGGCAACUCUGAGACCCUUACUCCAUCAUUUGGAAGUGAAACCCACUCUUGCCUCCUAAGGAACCGAAGAUCUGCAGAAUCCAGAAAUCUUUCCCGUCACACUGAGAAGAACAAGACCAAUGAGGGAGCUGAUUUGUACUGUUUAGUUUACCUAGAAGUCUGGCUAAUCCAUGAAGAUUGUGACCAGGACCCUCAAAUUUCUGUGAAACCGUCCUUUCCUUUCUUUCAUUAUUACCUCCUCAAGUCAGUCUUUUAAGCAUCUAACUCAGCAGUUCAAGACACAGCUGCAAGAUCAGGAAAUGAGAUCAAAAAGUAGCACAGCCUCAACCUGAAUAGUGCCAAAAAAAGAACACAGAUAAAAAGAAAGAAACCAAUCCAGGUAGGAUUGAUGCAAUUCUAAGCCAUUACAAAAGUACUUGAACCUAGUGUGAGACUUCAGAAUG